rnacentral:rRNA from 1 species
AGAGUUUGAUCCUGGCUCAGAUUGAACGCUGGCGGCAGGCCUAACACAUGCAAGUCGAACGGUAACAGGAAGCAGCUUGCUGCUUCGCUGACGAGUGGCGGACGGGUGAGUAAUGUCUGGGAAACUGCCUGAUGGAGGGGGAUAACUACUGGAAACGGUAGCUAAUACCGCAUAACGUCGCAAGACCAAAGAGGGGGACCUUCGGGCCUCUUGCCAUCGGAUGUGCCCAGAUGGGAUUAGCUUGUUGGUGGGGUAACGGCUCACCAAGGCGACGAUCCCUAGCUGGUCUGAGAGGAUGACCAGCCACACUGGAACUGAGACACGGUCCAGACUCCUACGGGAGGCAGCAGUGGGGAAUAUUGCACAAUGGGCGCAAGCCUGAUGCAGCCAUGCCGCGUGUAUGAAGAAGGCCUUCGGGUUGUAAAGUACUUUCAGCGGGGAGGAAGGGAGUAAAGUUAAUACCUUUGCUCAUUGACGUUACCCGCAGAAGAAGCACCGGCUAACUCCGUGCCAGCAGCCGCGGUAAUACGGAGGGUGCAAGCGUUAAUCGGAAUUACUGGGCGUAAAGCGCACGCAGGCGGUUUGUUAAGUCAGAUGUGAAAUCCCCGGGCUCAACCUGGGAACUGCAUCUGAUACUGGCAAGCUUGAGUCUCGUAGAGGGGGGUAGAAUUCCAGGUGUAGCGGUGAAAUGCGUAGAGAUCUGGAGGAAUACCGGUGGCGAAGGCGGCCCCCUGGACGAAGACUGACGCUCAGGUGCGAAAGCGUGGGGAGCAAACAGGAUUAGAUACCCUGGUAGUCCACGCCGUAAACGAUGUCGACUUGGAGGUUGUGCCCUUGAGGCGUGGCUUCCGGAGCUAACGCGUUAAGUCGACCGCCUGGGGAGUACGGCCGCAAGGUUAAAACUCAAAUGAAUUGACGGGGGCCCGCACAAGCGGUGGAGCAUGUGGUUUAAUUCGAUGCAACGCGAAGAACCUUACCUGGUCUUGACAUCCACGGAAGUUUUCAGAGAUGAGAAUGUGCCUUCGGGAACCGUGAGACAGGUGCUGCAUGGCUGUCGUCAGCUCGUGCUGUGAAAUGUUGGGUUAAGUCCCGCAACGAGCGCAACCCUUAUCCUUUGUUGCCAGCGGUCCGGCCGGGAACUCAAAGGAGACUGCCAGUGAUAAACUGGAGGAAGGUGGGGAUGACGUCAAGUCAUCAUGGCCCUCACGACCAGGGCUACACACGUGCUACAAUGGCGCAUACAAAGAGAAGCGACCUCGCGAGAGCAAGCGGACCUCAUAAAGUGCGUCGUAGUCCGGAUUGGAGUCUGCAACUCGACUCCAUGAAGUCGGAAUCGCUAGUAAUCGUGGAUCAGAAUGCCACGGUGAAUACGUUCCCGGGCCUUGUACACACCGCCCGUCA